GAAAUGCGAUAAGUAAUGUGAAUUGCAGAAUUCAGUGAAUCAUCGAAUCUUUGAACGCACAUUGCGCCCUCUGGUAUUCCGGAGGGCAUGCCUGUUCGAGCGUCAUUUCACCACUCAAGCCUGGCUUGGUAUUGGGCGCCGCGGUGUUCCGCGCGCCUCAAAGUCUCCGGCUGAGCUGUCCGUCUCCAAGCGUUGUGAUUUCAUUAAUCGCUUCGGAGUGCGGGUGGCCGCGGCCGUUAAAUCUUUCACAAGGUUGACCUCGGAUCAGGUAGGGAUACCCGCUGAACUUAA
rnacentral:misc_RNA from 1 species